rnacentral:rRNA from 1 species
CCGCUGAACUUAAGCAUAUCAUUAAGCGGAGGAAAAGAAACUAACAAGGAUUCCCUUAGUACGGGCGACGGAAGCGGGAAAAGCCCACACUGGUAAUCUCCGUGCGUGAGUACGGCGAAUUGUAAUCUGAAGAGUCAUUGUCAUGGCAAUGGGGAGACGCAGAAGUGUCCACGAGCGGACCGCCAAAGAGGGUGAGAGCCCCGUCUGUAGUGUUUUCCUGAGUCUGAUAUUGGCCCAAAGAGUCGUGUACCUUGAUACUGGUGCACCAAGCGGGAGAUAAACUUCUUCUAAGGCUAAAUAUAAGUAGGAAACCGAUAGCGAACAAGUACUGUGAAGGAAAGAUGAAAAGCACUUUGGAAAGAAAGUUAAAAGACCUGAAAUCGUUGAGGCGGAAGCGGUAGAAAUGAAUUCUUCGCCAUGGUAGGUGGGAAGCCUGCGGUCGCGGGUUACUUCUUGCCUGGCGUGAGACAAGAUGGAGUCGGCAGGUGCCAGACGCGCCGCAGCCGGACCUCACGGUCUAGCUGUGGUGGCGGGGUAGCCAGCCGGCUUGAGGGGCUUUGUGCGAUCUUGUCAAAAUGGUUUUUACCGACCCGUCUUGAAACACGGACNNNGGAGUCUAAGA